rnacentral:tRNA from 1 species
GCAGUGAUUGUUCAGUGGUAGAAUUAAUGCCUUUCAUGCAAAAGACCUGGGUUUGAUUCCCCACCAAUGCA